rnacentral:lncRNA from 1 species
AGGCCAUACACCAGAUGCGGGCUAGUUGAGACCAGGUACAAACAUCAGUGAAAUAAUUAGGGUUCCUUCAAUUAGAAACCCCAUAUCAAAAUACUGAAGACGAUGGCCACCUUUCUCAUGAAGUCGGUUCGACCUCCAGAGGCUAUCUAGGUCCAUCAUGGAUAAUCAAACGAUUGGAAAAGUUACUAGGCAAGAUUUGACCCGUGGGACUGGAAUGAAAUCGUGCCGGAGUUGGCUUGCUAGGACCGCCGUAGUCGUAGUUGAAUUGAUAGAAACACCAUUGAUCGAGAUGACCAUAUCGAUUGCAUAUCUAGCACUGCAUCUGAGGACAAAAAUUACGCCCACGCGAGCCAGUAGAGAAGCGACCGCUACACCUAGGACGUAGAGCAAACUCAGUCACCGCCAAGGCCGGAGAAGCUUCAGCCAAAUUCACAUAGAUCGGUACGUCUUGCACCGCUUGCGUCUGGCGAUUCUCAAAUUCCAUCUGCAUAUCAACCAAUAGUUGAAACGGAAGUGUCUCCGACGAAAAUGAUGCGAGAGUCAAGACCGUAUCAAAGUCGAAUGAAAGACCAGCAAUAAUCACUUUUACCUUUUUGGCCUCCGAAACAACAGAUCUAGAAGCCUCAAGUGGGGCAGAGGUGUUCUGAACCUUGGCUAUGAAUUUGGUAAUAGUUAACGUACCUUUCUUUAGAGAGUGCAACUCAUGCUUGAUUCAUAAAAUUUUAGCACCGGUGGAGGUAGCAAGCAGCCGAUUGACAGUAGUCUAGAUAUCACACGCCAUUUUAGCAGCUGUAAAUGAAGAUAAUAAAGACACAGUAAUGGUGGAGACUAGUCAGGAGGCUAAAAGCUUAUCUUGUUGAAGAAAGACAGAUGCAUCUAGAUUUGAAGUCAGAGCACCAUCCAGAGACGCCACGAACCUAGGCGGAGUAGGUAGAGUACCAUUUAAAAAACCUUGCAGCUCAUAUCCUUCUGUGAUUAAUCUAAUAUGUUGCUGCCACUGCACAAAAUUCUUCUCAUCUAUUUCUUUGUGUCAUGACGAGUAAAAGCUUGAAUCAAUCGUGAACUGGAAAAGGAUGGAGUAGAACGAUCAACAGACGUGGAACCUUAUGAAUUAGCCAUAGAAAAGUAGUGGAUGUCGACCUUAGGAGGUUAGGCGAUUAAUACCAUGUUAGAUACUAUGUAGAAAAUGUAUGAACAAAAAGAUAAGCUACUGAGUAAUUCUUUAAUCAACAUUUCUUCAGUCUUGAGUGAAUACAUUGACUAUGUUUAUAUAUUCAUAUGAGAGUAACUGUUCUUAACCAACUUCAUAUCAAACUGAUUACUAGAUUUGAUAACAAACUAACAACCUUAAUAGUCUUUAUACCAAUGUUUAACACAAUCAUAGUUAAUACCUGCUUAUUUUUUUAGAGCAUUGCUCAAACCCUUGUAGUAGAAUACAUGUAUACCUAGUUUGACAGAAUUAUUACAAUUUCAUAAGACUUCAGAGUAAGGCAAUAAUGCAAUUAGAAAUGGCGGAUACCUCCCUUAACUCUUCAGAUUUACACUUUGGCUUAAAAACAUCUUUUUUUAUCAUAUACAACUAAAACUAGGAGAUGAAUGUCUGCUGGUAGGGAGGGAUUGAGUGAAAAAGAUUUUCUCCAAGAUUUUGAUGAAUCUUGUUCUUGCUUUGUGGGGUUGUCCAUCUUUGUUUGAAUAGAACAAUUAGGCAGUGGUGUGUUGUUAUGCGGUUCUAGUGACUGUUGUCUAAAUUCUUGCAAAUAAUUUUGUGGGGCAUUAGAGUUGUGUUUGCUGUAAGCGGUGGUUUUUGUCGUUUCUUGGCCCUGAAGUGGUGGGAUCAUGCUGACAAGUGCAUAUUGUGGCCCUGGUGGUGAACUUUUUUCCCCUUGAUUUGUAUGUUGUUACGUGUCUCUUUACUAUUAUUAUGCAUGGCUUUUACGUUCUUUUAUGAAUAAAAGUCUUUCUUGUUUUUUCUUUUUUAAUAACCAGUAGGUAGGUUUUUGUCUUUAGAAUUUGUCAUUUUCGUUGCUUCUUUUAUCCUUUUUGGUUAUUCUUCAAGUUUCAUUACUACUUUGUUAAACUUAAGUUGUUAUUUUCUUUCAACCUUGCUUUCUUACUUUCUAAACUAGCCCUUGAGUUGCAUCUUCCUCUUUCAAUGUACUUCGAUCUCUAGUAUGUUGUGAAUUUCUUGUGCUUUCUUCUUGUGGUUCCUUUGGAUUUUGUGAUUCUUGUAAUUCUUUCCUGUGGAUUUUGUUUAUGCAGGUUAUGAAGGUUUUUUUUAGUAUUUUUGCUUAUUACUAAACACUGUGCUUGGUAAGUCCAGUUUGGUGGGGAAAGAUUUUGACCUCUCGGUGUGGAAGAAGUGGGAAUUCUCUCAAUCAACCUGGGGGCACAUUAUCGGGACAACUCUCCCUAGUCUUGCUCGUAUUUCUUGGGAAGUGUUAAUCUAUCGUCGGCUUUGGUAGAGUUAGCCCCUAGUUCUUCUUCUUGUUCCCUUUGCUUUAGUUUUGGUUUUCAUUUGUUUCAACUCUUUCCCUAUUUUCUUAAAAUAUUGUAAUAUUUCAGGACUAUUUAAGGGACUGUUCUAUUUGGAUUUGGGGCAUUUUUUCACCCCUUUCGUGUGUUUCUUUGUUUGCUUGACUAGUUUGUUCAUGAUCUGUUAUUACUUUAUCAUUGUAGGAUAGCCUUUCUCAAUUUUUUUAGUAUUUUUUUACUACUUACUCGUGUUUUACUUUUAUUUUACCUUAUUUCUUCUUCUGUGGCGAGUUUUUUCAUGUUUUUUGUCUCUUUUCCUUGCAGCUGUGGUGAGGGCGAAGGUUUUGGUCCCUGGUGGCUGUUGAAUCUGGCUUUGUUAGGUGUGAAGAGGAUUGCUAUUCUAUGCGUUUCAUAAAGUUCCAGCUUUGGUGGUUAAGGGGCUUGGCUCUCUUGAUUCGUAAGGUGGAUACUCCCUUGAUUUCUUUGAGGGCAAUCGAGUUGAAUAAGCCUUCGUUGAUUAUUUGCGCCUCAUGGUAUGUGCUGACUCAUUAUUGGGAUCGGUGGCUGUUCUAAUGUUUUUCUUAUUUUUCUUAUAUUACCUCGCAUUUUCAGUCUUUUCCCUGUAUUCAUUCCGUUUCAUGUAACUGUAAGGGUCUUUUUAAUAAGGUUUGGGGUGGUUUUCACUCCUUUUUUGUGUUGCUUUCUUUAUCGAUUGAGAAUGUUAUGAACUAUUAUUGUUUCAUCAUUUUAGGAUAGUUUACUGCUUGUUGUUUUGUGAUAUUUUUGCUAUUUUGUGUGUUUUUCUUUUACCCCUAUAUAUAGUUAUUUUCAUUUUGGCUUCUCUGGUGCUUUGCUUGCGUCUGGAUUGGUAGGUGGUGACUGCGACUCUUGGUGGGCUGUGUUUACUUGGUUCUGUUAAAUGUGUAGGGAGUUUGUUGUUUAUGCGCCUUUCCUGUCUUGGUGGUCAUUACGGCUGAUGAUCUAAAUGAGAUGCUCGUAAAUUUAAAGUUUUUGGAGUUUGAAAAAGAAAGAGUGAUGUAUUGAAAUGGUACAAAUUCGGGCAUGUAGGGAUUUGAGGCAUGGGAAGUUGGAAAAAUUAUGUUUGAGGAGAAUAUAAAUAGGGAGGCAAUGUAUAAGGUUCUAAAAUCUCUAUGGUAUACGAAAGAACCGGUAAAUUUUUUGGCAAUGAUGGAUGGGCUGUUUUGAAUGAAAUUUGGGUCAAAGGAGGAUAGAGAAAGGAUCUUUAAUCUGUCCCACUGUAGUUUUGAUCAAUGUUGAUUUUCCAUGGUGCCGUUUGUGAAAGGUCAAGACUUAAGCAACUAUAAUUUAUACUAUGUGCCAUUUUGGGUCUAAAUUUUGAACAUUUGAUUGGAAAGAAUGGACCGAAAAGUGCAAUUGAUGUUGGAGGAGCUAUAGGAGAGGUUUUUGCUAUUGAUUAGAGAGAUAGGGAUGACUGCUAGAUUGGAUAUAUUAGGGUGAGGGUUAUAAUGGACAUCUCUAAACCCUUGAGACGUGUUGUAUAUUUGGUUGGGUCUGAUGAAGAUGAGAUCAUGUGUGCCAUCAAGUAUGAAUGAUUACCUACAUUUUGCUAUAUAUGUAGUUGUAUAGAACAUCAAACACAAAAACGCGGGUAAGCUGAAAGUAUCAAAUGCAUGGAUAAUCCAAAAUUUCAAUAUGGUAAUUGGCUAAGGGUCAAAUUGGGACAACUAAAUCAGGGUAUAAGUCUUCGGCAAAAUGAAAUCGAAACCUUAGUAAUAAUUAGAGAAGGGCAAAAAGGAGCAGAUAGGAGGUCCGAAAGUACAGAUCAGAAGGAGCAUUUAGUGAUGAUAUAGAGGGGCAAAGAAAAGGUUAAAAUAGGGGAUGAGGUAUCGAAAUCAUGCUCGCUAACAAGUAAGCAAGCGUCUUAGACUAUGAGGGAGAAUCCUGGAAGAAUAAGAAUCAAAUGUAAAAAGAACAAGGCAGGGAACAGGGAAGGUUUGGAUGAAAGCCCGAUAAGAAUAUUUCAUAGGAAAUUAAUGGAGGGAGCUUCUCCUUUCAAGGCAGCGGCUGGUGAUCAGCCCAGUCCGGAGCCAUGAAAAUCCUUUAUUGGAACUAUUGUGGGUGCGAGAGCCCUGCGACAAUUCGUGAGUUGAGAAAGCUCCUCACUGUCAAGAAUCUUGUUAUUUUUUUGAAUGAAACGAAGCUUAGGGCUAACGAGUUUGAGUGUAUUCGGGUUCGUUGUAAGAUGGAUGAUUAUUUUGUUGUGGAUCUGGAUAGUCGUAAAGGAGGCCAUUAUGGAGGAAUAAGGUGGAUAUGACUAUUCAAAAUUACUCUGAGCAUCAUGUGAACUUUGUGGUUAAAAUGGAGGGGAAUGACUAUAUUCGUUUCACGGGCUUUUAUGGUUAUCUGAACCCUAAUAAGAGACAUUUGUUGUAGAGCACCCUUCGGAGGGUUGGGACUCUUAUGAGUGGGGAUUUGGUUGUUGGGGGGGAUUUCAAUGAAGUGAUGGAUGAUGCUAAGAAGUGUGUGGGGGGGGGGAGACAGACCUAGAGUAGGUAUGGAUAAUUUUCGGAAGCUUGCCUUGGUUGAUGUCAAACCCGAUAAGGGGUGGUUCACUUGGAUGAAUAACGGCGAAGGGAAUAUAGAGGUUAGGGAAUGUCUUGAUAGAUUCUUGGUUUUGGCUUCUUGGCUGGGCUGUUCUCUAUUUUUAUCCUCAAGCGUAAUAUGUCAGACUUGCUCGGACCAUGAUGCCGCGUUGCUUGAUACUUUGGGUAGGAAGCCGAGGGAGGACAUAAGGGAUCCGAGGCUAUCUUUUCGGUUUGAGGCUUGUUGGGCCAAGGAGAACGAGGCUAAGGACAUGAUCAAAAGAGUUUGGGAUCAGUGUGAUAGGGAUGUGUUGACUUGGAUUGAUUACAUUUGCCUUCAUUUAGGGAGAUGGUAGUUUCGACAAUUUAAAAAGGGGCAAGAUUGUAUGUGGAGUUUAACUGACAGGAUUGAUAAACUAAUGGAUGGGUCGAUGUUGGAAUCAAAUAUUGAGAGAUUCCGAGCCUCUUGGGUGGCAUUUGGUUGCUUGUAUGAGGAGGAGUGGUAUUGGGCUCAGAGGUCUUAGAUUCAGUGCCUUAAAGAGGACGACUGGAACACCCAUUUUUCACGUUAAGGCUUGUAGGAGAAAUAAAAAGAACAAGAUUUAGGGUUUACUAGACCCUAACGGUAAUUGGGUUUCUGAUUCUAGAGGUAUUCUUCAGGUGGCUUGGGAUUACUUUUAUUCCCUAUUUAAAAUCGAGGCUUGUGGUAACCUUGAGAGGGCAUUGGUUUUGAUUCCAAAUUGUAUCACUUCUAAUAUGAAUGGUGCGUUGGAUAGUUGUGUGUUUGAUAUGGAGCUCAUUGAAGCUUUUAAUCAAAUGGAUCCUCACAAGCUUUCUGGUAUUGAUGGGCUUUCAAGCCUUUUCUAUAAGGAAAAUUGUGGGGUGGUUGGUAAGGAUGUGCUCCAGCUUUGUUAUGAGGUUCUGGAUGGGCAUACAGACAUCAAAGAUAGUAAUAAAGUUGUUAUCGCUCUUAUCCCCAAAAUUGAUGAUCCUAAGGUUAUGACUCACUUCUGUCCUAUCAGCCUUUGUAGGUUUAUUUAUAAGAUGAUCUUUAAGGCGUUAGCUAAUAGAUUAAAAACUGUUCUUUUGACUUGUAUCAGUCAGAACUAGAGUACGUUUGUGCCGGGGUGUAUGAUUUAUGAUAACUUCCUUAUCACUCAUGAGUUUUUGCAUUACCUCCAGAGUUCUAAAAACGAGUCGAAUAAAGGGUUUAUUAUUAAACUCAAUAUGAGUAAAGCUUAUGACUGAGUUGAAUGGGAAUUCAUAGAGAAAGUGAUGAUUCACAUGGGAUUUUUUUCUUUCUAGGUCACUUUGGUUAUGAAGUGUGUUCGUACUAUGAGCUACAUUGUUAAAUGUAAUGCUUCCCUCACUGAUGUGAUUAUUCUUGAGAGAGGGCUUCGUUAGGGAGAUCCAUUUUUGCCCUAUAUUUUCUUGUUCUUUAUGGAGGUGCUCUCUAGAUUGCUUUUGGGAGCCCAAAUGAAGGGGAAGAUCCAGAGGAUUAGGGCUAGUCAGAAUGGGCCCAGGAUUAAUCAUCUUUUCUUUGCGGAUGAUGCGCUUUUUUUUGUUUGUAACAAGAAGGAGGGGGUUGAGACUGUUAAGUCCUUCACUACUUCAAGAUGAUUUCAGGGCAAAAGAUUAAUCCGUCCAAGUCUAUUCUUUACUUUAGCCCUAAAAUCUUGAGAGAUCAAAGGGUACAGUUGAGUGGUAUCUUGGGUGUGCGGGUCCUCGAGUCCAUGGAUAACUAAUUGGGCUUGCCUUUGAUCAUUUUCAAGAAUAAGACGAGGGCUUUUCAGCAUAUUAUUGAUCGAUUUUCUCUUAGGAUAAAAGGCUGGUCUAAAAGUCUUUUAUCUUAUGGUGGUAAGGACAUCUUUAUUAAAUAAGUUCUAUAAUCUUUACCUACUUAUGCAGUUUUGAUUUUUCUUGUUCAUAGGGGCACCCUUGAUGUGAUGAUUUUGAGGAUAAGGAGCUUUUGGUAGGCAAAAAAGAACAAAGAUCGUGGAUGGGCGAUGAUGGUGUGGGACUCUCUUUGUACACCUAAGAGUGUGGGUGGCCUUGGCUUUAGGGACUUAAGGCUCUUCAAUAUUUCGCUUCUCAGAAGAAAAGUAUGGUGGCUCAUCAAUAAUAAGGAUACCUUAUGCUAUCGAGUGCUUUUCUCCUAGUACUUUCAGAUAGGUGGCGGCAUGACCGCUAGGUUCGGGAUUAAUAGAUGGGGCUUUAAGGGUCUUGAUGGCAACUAGUUGAGGACUUCAUUCAAUGGCAUUCGAGAUGGUUUGGUGAGUGAGUUGUGGAGUCCUAAUUCAUGUGUGUGGGAUAGAGAUCAGGUGGUUGAGCUUUAUGGCCACGAGCUAAGUGAUCUUAUCUAUACCUUAUUAAGUGUUCAGCAUGGUCCACCGGAUCGAAUUGUUUGGUUUCACAACAAGUCCGGGUGCUAUACAUGAAAAUCUAACUAUUCCUGGCUCAUUCUCAAGAAGAUGGGUUAUGGGCCGCAUCAUUUAUUUUGGAGGACUAUAUGGAAACUCCACGUGCUUCCCAAAAUCCAUAUCUUUGCGGUCAAUCAUAAUGUACUCCCAACUAAUGUCAAAAUGGCUUCGAUUUUUCAAGGCUUCGAUCGGGCUUGCCACCUGUGUGGGCUUGAAGUUGAAACUAUUAUCCUUGCUAUUAGAGACUGUUCUAAAUCUCGAGCGGUUCUUUCUUUUUGUGGGCUUGAUGGAUGUUUACUUAACUCUUCUUAUGAGAGUUGUAUUGACUGGCUUGAGGAUGCUACUCGUGUUUUGGAUCUUAAGGUAUUUGAGAAUCUCACCACAAUUUUAUGAAAUAUUUGGAAUGGUCACAACAAUGCAUUUUUCGGGGGCAAGGGGGAUGAUGCUCGGUUGGUAUGAGAACGGGCGAGAACUUUUGGGGAUGAUUUUAGGAUCUAUAAUCUUUGAACGAUGCCAUUAAGUUUAAUGUUGAUGUGGUGGUUUUUGACUUGGCGGUAGGCAUAAGGAUUAUUGCAAGGGAUCACGAUUGUUUUGUGUUAGGUGGAUGCGCGAUCUUUUUGAACCAUAAGAUGGAUUAGAUGGAUGCGCGAUCUUUUUGAACCAUAAGAUGGAUAUUGAAUAGGCUGAGGUGGAAGCUUUAAGGGAAGGGAUUAUUUGGGCUCAUAUGAACGUCACUAGGGCUUUUUUCAAGAUCGAUUGUGUGAGUUUAGUCAAUCUAUUUAAGUCUCAUCACGAGGACAUUUUGAUCUUUUGUUUCCGUUUGAAGGAAAUUUUUAGUUUGUUGGAUUCUUUCAUCAACUUUAAGAUUGAGUGGGUUAGUCAUUCGCUCAAUAGAGUGACUGAAAACCUUUGUAAACUUGCUGUUAAUAACCACUGUACAUUUCCUUUUAACAUGAAGUAUCUGAGCGAUAUCCAUGGGCUUGUACUUGCUGACGCUUGUUAAUUUCAAGGUAGUGGCCUUCGGGCCCAUUUUGAUAAAAAAACUACAAUCCAAUACCUUUUCAAUCCAUAUACAUUCAUUCAUCUCUAGCCCAAGUAAUAGGACACUACACCACCGUCUCAUCAUCAAUAAACACAAAAUAUCUCAUUAACGUGCGAUUAACAUCAUAAUCAAAUAACUAUAUGAGGUUUAAGUCUAAUCUUCCCUAGACGAAGUUAAAAUUUGCUAAACAUACAAUAAUCGACCUUAUAACAAGAUAAAAGCAUGCUUAAAGAUCACUUAACAUAAAUUUGUAAAAGAUCACGUAGGUAUCGAUACCCAUACGAUGGUAUUGAUAUUUCUCAUAGAUGGUAUCGAUACCGUAUAGAAAAUUGGCACCAGAUUAGCAUUUUGUUUUCCUACAAAAUUUAAAGCCCAAAAAAUUAUUGAUAUAUAUAAAAAAAUUUCAGUAUUUUUACCCCGAGUAUCAAUACUUGAGAAAUUGUAUCAAUUACCAAAUUGAGUUAUUGACUUCCUACGCAUUCAAAAUAUCAUGGAGGUAUCGAUACUAAAUACCUGAUUAUCGAUACCUUUGCACAGAAUAGUAAAAAUAACAGCAAAAUAGGGCAUUUAGCACAAUCAUACCUGUACCAAUUCAAGAUGCAUCUUAAUUUCAAAGUUUGACACAAAAAAUAUCUGAAAUUACAACUCAAAGUAUCAUCAAUAAUUUAAGCCAAGACAAAACCAAUAACAUAAUAUCAAACAUACAUCAAUUUCUAAGAGUCUAAAAUCAUAUCAACCAUUUAAAGCAUAAUAAUAAUCAACCAAAAAUGUCUACCACAUUGCCUUAUUCACACAAUUCAAAGAAUAAUAUUAAUACCACCUAUGUAAAUACUAAAGCCUAACUUGGAUCACUUCCUUGGAAUUUUCGCACCGCUUACACCACAAGCGCUAAAUAUCUACAAUGGUUAGAAAGAGUGGGUGAGCUUAAACAAGCUCAGUGAAUGUCGGAAUAACCACAAAGUAUACACAACAUCAAAGGUUAAAUAAAAGCAUACUACAACACAUUCACAACCGUAUUCUAAUCAAGUCAAAAUAACAUUUUCACGCUUCAUUAAAUCAUAAAUCUAAUAUAUACUCUCACAUGCAAUUACACAUUACUAUGAUGACAUGCUAACAUAUUCAUACAAUAUUAAUAAACUCAAUUAGCUUAUUUAUUCACAUGUUCAUGCAUACAUCACAUGCCGUAAUAUCACUUUCUAUAAAAUCACAUUUAACGAUAAUUUAUUAAGACAAAACAAUGUGUUCAUGCUUUAAUGACCCGCUAGACUAGCUUAUAUAUAUUCACUUGCAUUUACACACAACAUUUCCAUAUAUUAAUUAAUUAAUGAUAAUUUGGUAACUUGGAAGCAUGAAACAUAAAAGUGGGCUCUACCACCACACAUUGGAUACACGAAUCUCCAUUACACCAAUGACUCAAAGAGUCGAACAUAUCCCAAAAGCAUAGCAUUUAGCUAACACUCUCCAACACACUAACAUAUCCCGGUGAAUGAAGGUUAGCUCAUAUUCCCUUAUCUCUCCAAAUUGUCUCGGAGCCUUAAUGCCCAAAUCACAAAACACAAGGGUGAGUACUCACAAUCUUAUGGCAUGCCAACUAUAUCCAAUGGUUUCAAGAGAUCACAAGGCCAAAAUAUCCGCAAAUACACACAUUUAAUUACUAUUCUUAUGCACUUAAUCUCUAUUCAUAAACAUUAAUUCACAUAACAAUUUGUACAUAUAACACACUUAUUGGAUUCAUAUUUAAUUGCACUACAAGUGCCACAACUAUGUUUAUUAAGCCAUCACAUAAUUGUCCACCUAUGUGUGCAUUAAAGUCAGUUUAUCACAUACAACUAUUCACACACAUUACCUGUUACAUUAACAUCACAUUCCACAAUUCAACACAUACAUACUUACCCUUUUUUUCACUGCACAUUUAUAUCACUAACACAAUAUCAUCACUGUCAUUCAACAUAUUUAAUAUGCCCACAACUAACACACUCACAAGAGCUACCACAAUACAUAUCACAUGUUACAUUGUCAUAACUUAAUACUCAAUCCACAUCACACAAUCACAUGCUUUGCAAAUUAAAUGAAGGGUAUAAGAACACUUACACUCAGAACUUAAAGUAGGGGUUUAGGCUACUCCUAAACUCCCAAUUAACACUAUGAACUGUGUCUACUAGCAGUGAUUCCAAACACUCACUGUUCAUGUUUCCGCCUAUUUGCCGAAAGCUUAAACUAGCUUUUCCUUGCCUUUCGCCUUACUCGAAGAAGGUCCCAAUUACUCCAAAACUUCACACAUAAUAACCACAGAAUAUAGAAAAUCAAUUAGUAUCCAUAAAACACCUUCAACAAAAAAAACAUAGGUCUAAGGCUAGUUUCUCUUGGAACUGAAAUUUUUGACAAACAAACUUGAAACUCAAAUAUCUUAAUCUUUACUCAUUCCUAUUACCUAUAAUAGUUCCAAUAAUCUAAUAUACACAAUCAAUUAGUAGUUAUAACACACCUUAAACAAACAAAAACAUAGGUCUAAGGCUAGUUCCUCUUGGAACUGAAAUUUUUGACAAACAAACUUGAAACUCAAAAUCUUAAUCUUUACUCAUUCCCAUUACCUAUAAUAGAUUCCAAUCAUCUAAUAAUAAAUCUAAGAAUAAUUCUCAACCUUUAAACUACACAAAAAUACAUAGAUUCAUGGUUUCAAAAUUUUGACAUACUAUGACAAUUUUCACGAAAAUUUAACAAAAGCUUAGAAUUAUUUAACGUAACUUUAAGGGAAGUUUAGAAACCUUCUAGUAACUUUAAAACAAGUUGAAAAACACUUUGAAACAUAGUUUUUAUACAUAAUCUCAAAUUUCACCAUUAACGACCUAAAUUUUGGCAGUUAUUCAAAACUCUUAAUUCAAUAGAUAAAAACUCAAUCUAAUAGCAGUUUUGGUUAGGGGUUUAUGAAUGGAUUCUAGCCCAAUUCAACGGGCCCACCACCAAACAUUAAUUUGGUUAACUAUAAUGGCAUUACGACCUAAAUUGAUUCAGAGUGUAUUACAAGAAGAGGCUAAAUAACCAUUCAUUUCCCUCACCAUUGAAUAGCCAUUCAACCCCAUGGGAUAAGAAUUUUUUUUCUAUUUUUAAUUUUUGCCCUCACCUUUACCCAAAGAAUGAAGAAGUUGUAACUGGAACUAUCAUGUUCACCCUCCUAACUUCCUUUUCUUCCCAUCAAUAUGUUUCCCUUCUACCUUUGAUUGCAGAGGAGACCUAGGUUAAUCUAUUGAAGCCAUCAUUCUUUAUUGUUUCUUCUUUUUCCUCACCUUUUAAGUUAAUAAAACCAUUUAGUUGUAAAGUUGUAACCUUUUUUUUUUUUGCUUUUUCACUACAUUUCUGAUUUCCCUUAUUUGAAAUUUUUGGUAGUUAGAAUCAUUAAAAAUGAAUUAAGAUCAACAGGAAUGGGGAAAUCUAGGACUUUGAGCACGAGGUGGCAGUGGCAAUGAACUUACUUGUUAUUUUAGGAUUGGAUGGUGGAACUGUUGAAUAUUGGCAAUAUCCCACAUUAGGAAAAGAUAGAAAGGGAGGGGGUUUGGUUUGUUAUAUAUAGAACCCCUCCCCAUUUGGUUGUAUCAUCCCAAAAUCUUCUCCUUUGUAAUAUUUCUAGAAGAAAUAUUAAUUUGGUAGUGUCCGAGGACGUAAGCUAAAUUGGCCGAACCUCGUUAAAUCUCUGGUAUUUUAUUUCUUAUUUGUUUGCUUAUAUUUAAUAGCUUUAUGUUGGUUAUAUUUAUUUAGUUAUUAUUGCUAUAAAUAUCUAAGUGAGUUCUGUCUAGUUGUUGGGUUUUAAGCGGGACCAUUUGUGACCCCUCCAAUUUAACUGGGAAUUUUCUUAGUAUAAUUGUUGGCAUAAUAAUUAUCUAAAUAUUUCUGAUAAUAUUGUUAUUAAUAUUAUCGUGCUUCCGCAACAAUUGGUAUCAGAGCCAAGGUUUUGUAGUAUGCUCUGUGUUUGCAGCUUAGUCUGAUCUUACACAUCAGAAACAUUUCCUAAAGCUUGUGGGUAUUCUGCAUUUGGUGGCUAUUAAGUAGAAGCUAUGGCAAAAAUGACAGAAGAAAAACCAUCCAUAUCAACAACUUCCACUUCGUACAUUUUGCCGAGGAUUGGAACUGCAAAUACGAGAUUUGUAGUGGAAAUUUUUAAUGGAACAGGUCAUUUCGGCAUGUGGCAAAGUGAGCUUCUAGAUGCCCUCUUUCAACAGGGUCUAGAUAUUGCCAUUGAGGAAGAAAAACCAGAAGGGGUUGAUGAUAAAGAAUGGAAGACCAUCAACCGAUUGGCAUGUGGUACAAUUCGAUCAUGUCUUUCCAGAGAGCAGAAGUAUAUAUUCAGUAAAGAGACUUCUGCAAGUAAAUUGUGGAAAGCAUUGGAGGAGAAAUUCCUGAAGAAGAACAGUCAAAAUAAGUUGCAUAUGAAGAAAAGACUGUUUCGUUUCAGUUAUGUUCCUGGUACCACAAUGAACGAGCACAUUACCAAUUUUAAUCAGCUGGUGGCUGAUUUGUUGAAUUUGGAUGUGACUUUUGAAGACGAAGACUUGGCGUUAAUGUUGUUGGGAUCGCUUCCAGAGGAGUUUGAGUACCUUGAAACUACUUUACUUCAUGGAAAGUCGGAAGUAACUUUCAAUGAAGUAACUGCUGCAUUGUAUAGCUAUGAACUACGCCGAAAGGAUAAGUUGAAAGGUUCAAGUGAAGCAGCAGUGGAAGCAUUGGUAACAAGAGAUCGUCAGGAAAGUCAGUCUAAGGGGAAGAGAAGAAAGUCCAAAGGUCGAGCUGUUGCCAAAGAUGAAUGUUCCUUUUGCAAAGAAAAAGGACAUUGGAAGAAAGAUUGUCCAAAAUUGAAGAAAAAAGGGAAGACUCCGCAAGAUGCAAAUGUUGCAGAAUGCAAUAGUGAAGCAGAGUCAGACUUUUCUCUUAGUAUGACAUCUUCAACAUUAUAUGCAGAUGAGUGGAUCAUGGAUUCUGGUUGUUCCUAUCAUAUGUGUCCCAUUCGGGAAUGGUUCUUUGAAUUUCAAAAACUAGAUGAAGGGGUUGUUUACAUGGGUAAUGAUAACACAUGUAAAAUAGCCGGGAUAGGUUCAAUUAAACUGAGGAGUCAUGAUGGAUCUACUAGAAUUUUGCGGGAUGUACGAUAUGUCCCAAAGUUGAAGAAGAAUCUCAUCUCUUUGGGGUCGUUAGAAUCUAAAGGCCUAGUUGUGACAAUACGAGAUGGAGUUCUUAAAGCAACUUCAGGAGCAUUGGUGAUGUUGAAAGGCAUAAGAAAGAACAAUCUGUAUUACUACCAAGGUAGUACAGUGGUCGGGACAACAGCAGCAGCAAUUUCGAGUACCAAGAAGGACGCUGAGGCAACACAGUUGUGGCAUAUGCGUUUGGGCCAUGCUGGUGAAAAAUCCUUGCAAACUCUAGCCAAGCAAGGAUUAUUGAAAGGUACAAAGACUUGCAAACUUGAAUUUUACGAGCAUUGUGUUCUGGGAAAACAACGAAGGGUGAAAUUUGGCACUGGGAUUCACAAUACUAAAGGUAUUCUGGAUUAUGUGCAUUCUGAUGUAUGGGGACCGUCCAAGACUCCAUCACUUGGAGGAAGACGUUAUUUUGUCACCUUUAUUGAUGAUUUUUCCAGACGAGUUUGGGUGUUUCCUAUGAAGAACAAAGAUGAGGUGCUUGAAGUUUUCCUUAAGUGGAAAACUAAAAUUGAAAAUCAGACAGGAAGGAAGAUUAAGGUUCUCCGAUCAGACAACGGUGGAGAAUAUAAAAGCGAUCCAUUCCUGAAGAUAUGCCAAGAUUGUGGCAUAGUAAGGCACUUCACCGUAGGUGGAACACCGCAACAGAAUGGGGUGGCAGAGCGUAUGAAUCGAACGCUUGUGGAGAAAGUUCGAUGUAUGUUAUCUAAUGCUGGAUUAGAUAGAAAGUUUUGGACUGAGGCUGUGACGUACGCUCAACAUCUCAUCAAUCAUUUGCCAUCAUCUGCUAUAAAUGGCAAGACUCCUUUGGAGAAAUGGUAUGGAAAACCUGCUACUGAUUAUGACACCUUGCGCAUUUUUGGUUCUAUUGCAUAUUAUCAUGUGAAAGAAUCAAAGUUAGAUCCAAGAGCAAAGAAGGCUCUAUUCAUGGGCUUCAAUGCUGGUGUUAAGGGAUAUCGUUUGUGGUGUCUAGAGGCAAAGAAGACGAUAAUCAGUAGGGAUGUUACCUUUCAUGAAUCUGCCAUGUUGAAUAAGGUAAAUCCAGAAGGAGUGAGUAGUACUUCGCAGCAGGUGGAGUUUGAGCAGAGUGUGGUAAUUCCAGCAGAAGGUACCACUAGUGAUUCUUCAUUGGCAGAUGCAGAGUCAGAUGAGGAAGAGGUUUCUACCCAAGAACCUCAACAGCAAUCAGAGCCAAUUGCAGUCAGAAGGCAGAGACGAGAAAUUCAGAAACCUGCUCGUUUCACUGACAUGGUAGCUUAUGCACUUCCAGUUGUUGAUAAUAUUCCAUCCACUUACACCAAAGCCAUUCAGAGUUUAGAGAAUAAUAGAUGGUUAGGUGCAAUGGAAGAGGAAAUGCAAUCUCUAGAGAAAAACAAGACGUGGAAGCUGGCACAACUACCAAAAGGGAAGAAGGCGAAUGGUUGCAAAUUUGAAGACACUAUUGAAGUUAGUGUUAUGAGAAGAUGUUCGAAGAUGUGGAAUAUCGCCAAGGUGGAGAUUUGUUGAAUAUUGGCAAUAUCCCACAUUAGGAAAAGAUAGAAAGGGAGGGGGUUUGGUUUGUUAUAUAUAGAACCCCUCCCCCUUUGGUUGUAUCAUCCCAAAAUCUUCUCCUUUGUAAUAUUUCUAGAAGAAAUAUUAAUUUGGUAGUGUCCGAGGACGUAAGCUAAAUUGGCCGAACCUCGUUAAAUCUCUGGUAUUUUAUUUCUUAUUUGUUUGCUUAUAUUUAAUAGCUUUAUGUUGGUUAUAUUUAUUUAGUUAUUAUUGCUAUAAAUAUCUAAGUGAGUUCUGUCUAGUUGUUGGGUUUUAAGCGGGACCAUUUGUGACCCCUCCAAUUUAACUGGGAAUUUUCUUAGUAUAAUUGUUGGCAUAAUAAUUAUCUAAAUAUUUCUGAUAAUAUUGUUAUUAAUAUUAUCGUCGCUUCCGCAACAGGAACCACUUCUACCGCAUACAUUUCUAUGCCAAUUAUUCUUUUCUCCGACGCCUUUCUUGGCCCUCUUCUUGUUCUCUCCCAUGCCGUCACAGGCUGCUCCAAUCAUAAUAGUGUUGGUGAUAAUUUUAUUCCCUCCUUUUGAUUUUUUUAUUUAUUGUUGUUUUUAAUCUUAGGGUUCUCAUUUUUGUUUUUCUUAGUUUCUAUAAUGCCAAAUAGUUUCUUAAUGAAAUGGAAAUUCGUAUGUGAAAUUUUAACUAAUAUAUUUGUUUAGCACACAUUACUGAUGUUUUUUUUUGCUUUUUGGCGAACUAUUGAAUAUUUGAAUUAUUUACUGGAUCCUACUCUUUAAAUGCCAAUCAUCAAGCAAAGUCUUGAUGUGUAAUUGUGGUGAUAAUUUUUUUGGAAAUAACCUGAAACAUUAUAAUAUGGGUAAUCAUAGUGGAUUACCUUGUUAAUUUGGAUUUUUUUUAUUUCUAAAUGUAAAUUGAAUUUCUAAUAAUUUUAGUUGUGAAGAAAGAUUUAGGGUUCAAUUUCUCACUUUAUCUAGAUAGAAUUGGUUGUAAUUUUGUUCAAGAUUGGUCACUGAUAGUUUUUGAAAUGUAUGAUUUUUUUCUUUUCUUGUUCUUUAUGAUUUAGAAACUUCUUCAAAGUUUAGAAAAUAGUUGUUUACCAUUGGACAAGUCCAUAAAUACAAAGGUGGUUUCGGAGCACUGGUCAGGUGGAUAAUCUAUUACAGAUUCUUGUUUAUUAUCAAUCUUGAAGAUAUAUGCUGAUUGCGGAGGUUAAAAUUGAAUGAAUUUUUUUUGUGUGUAUCUGUGGAAAGGCUAUGCAUUGUUUUAUUUGCCAAUACUAAGCAUUUAAAUACAAAUAGUGCAUUAAGGCAACCUUAUUGGAAGAAGAGAGUGUUCGCUUGGAUGUAAUGAUUAUUAAAUUUUCUUACUUGAUAUUUCUCUUAUCAGUUCCUAUCAUUUCUGUGUCUAUGGAACAUUAUAUUAUGAAGCUAUGGCACCAGACAGUCAGAAAAGAUUCCUGCCUGAACUACUUAUGUGAUCUUCUUUCUGUUUUCCAUUUUGGCCCUAUAUUGCUUUCCAUGUCUCAUUCAAAUGAGGUGUCUCUUUAAUAAAUGCAACUUUCAAUAUUCUUUCUUCUAUAUUAAUAAAUGAAACUCUCAAUAUUCUUUAUUGUAUGUCCUCUCUUAUUGUUAUGUUAUGAAACAUAUAGACUUAAAUGACUAAUUUAUGGUGAAAUGCUUUCGUUUCUCAAACUAAGACCCAAAAAUAGCUACUUGGUUCGAAAAAUGUUGUAUAAUAGAAGCAUUAGCUCUUUGUAUAAUUUUUGUUUCAAUAUUUAUUUACUAGAUUAUGUUAGUAACAGCAACAAGGUUUUUAAGGAGGCUUUUGUCUGAAAAUGAGGGAAAGGUGAAGCUAACAAAUGACAAAUGUUUCAUAUUUUCAUUAGCCAUGGAAAUUAGUUGAGUUCUUGCUAGAUUUGUGAAAUAUUAUUUUUUCUAUAGAAUGGGAAGAUUGCAUUUCGGGAAAAGAAGAGUUUUAAGGAGGUAAUAUAUGAUUUAGUUUCUCUUCUUUUACAUUUCCUACAACGCAAUAAUUUUUUAUGCUAUUAUUCAUGUUUCUGAUGUGGGGUUUUGGCAUGAUGCAGACACCAAGAGGAUUGAAAGCCAUGGGGUGUAUAGAAAGUGAUUCAGAUUGAAGGUACAUUAAUGGC